rnacentral:rRNA from 1 species
CUGCGCGNCUACCAUGCAGUCGAACGGAGAUUUGUCUGACACUGGGUUUUCAUUUAAGGAUGAAACCGAGUGGCGGGAGGAGGUACGGGGCAAAAAGCUCUGUGCGAAAAAUCCUGAAAACACAAGGUUUUCAAAUGAGAGCCGAGUGUUGGACAAAUCUUAGUGGCGGACGGGUGAGUAACACGUGAGUAAUCUGCCUUGGAGUGGGGAACAACACAGGGAAACUUGUGCUAAUACCGCAUAAUGCACAGAGCCGGCAUCGGUUUUGUGCCAAAGGAGCAAUCCGCUCUGAGAUGAACUCGCGCCCGAUUAGAUAGUUGGUGAGGUAAUGGCUCACCAAGUCAACGAUCGGUAGCCGGACUGAGAGGUUGGCCGGCCACAUUGGGACUGAGACACGGCCCAGACUCCUACGGGAGGCAGCAGUGGGGAAUAUUAGGCAAUGGGGGAAACCCUGACCUAGCAACGCCGCGUGAAGGAUGAAGGUUUUCGGAUUGUAAACUUCUUUGGCAGGGGACGAUAAUGACGGUACCCUGAGAACAAGCCACGGCUAACUACGUGCCAGCAGCCGCGGUAAUACGUAGGUGGCAAGCGUUAUCCGGAUUUACUGGGUGUAAAGGGCGAGUAGGCGGGUAUGCAAGUCAGAUGUGAAAUACCAGGGCUCAACCCUGGGGCUGCAUUUGAAACUGUAUAUCUUGAGUGAUGGAGAGGCAGGCGGAAUUCCCGGUGUAGCGGUAAAAUGCAUAGAGAUCGGGAGGAACACCAGUGGCGAAGGCGGCCUGCUGGACAUUAACUGACGCUGAGGCGCGAAAGUGUGGGGAGCAAACAGGAUUAGAUACCCUGGUAGUCCACACCGUAAACGAUGGAUACUAGGUGUGGGGGGUCUGACCCCCCUCCGUGCCGGAGUUAACACAAUAAGUAUUCCCNCCUGGGGAGUACGAUCNCCAGAUUAAAACUCAAAGGAAUUGACGGGGACCCCNCCCAAGCAGUGGANUUAUUUUGUUUAAUUCCCACCCACCNCNAAAAACCUUACCCAGGGUUUUGAACUCCCCAGGAAUCCCCAUUGAAAAAAUUGGAANUGCCCCUUUCNGGGAACCCUGAAAAACCNGGNGGGNGCAUGGGUUNUUCCC